AUGGUGUCCUUUGAUGUAGUCUCUCUCUUCACUUGCAUACCCACCACAGAAGCAGUGGAGACUGUCAGAAAACAACUACAAGAAGACAGCUCCUUGGAAGACAGGACCAACUUCACACCCGAUCAGAUUUGCACACUGUUAGACCUCUGCCUUACCACAACAUACUUCAAAUACAACGAAGGUUUCUACAGACAAAAACAUGGCUGUGCCAUGGGCUCCCCUGUGUCACCUAUUGUAGCCAACCUUUACAUGGAGGAAGUGGAAAGAAAGGCUCUUGGCUCUUUUAAAGGGAGAGUACCCAGCCACUGGUACAGAUAUGUAGAUGACACCUGGGUCAAAAUCAAGACACAAGGAGUGGAAUCCUUCACUGCGCACAUUAACGCCGUGGAUAAAAACAUCAAGUUCACCAGGGAAGACACAAAGGAUUACUGUUUGCCUUUCCUGGACUGCGCUGUGCACAUUGAAGAGAAUGGCAACCUCAACAUCGAAGUUUACCGGAAGCCCACACACACGGACCAGUACCUCCUCUUUGACUCCCAUCACCCUCUGGAACACAAACUUGGAGUAAUUAGGACCCUACACCACCGGGCAGAACAUGUUCCCUCUAAGCCUGAAGGGAAAAAGAAGGAACACACACAUGUAAAGGAAGCACUGAAAACAUGUGGUUAUCCUAACUGGGCGUUCAUAAAGUCAGCAAAGAGGCACAGAAAAGAAGAUCAGACACCAGCGAGGGAGGAUAAGAAAGACAGACGCAACAACGUUGUCAUCCCCUAUGUAGCCGGUGUAUCAGAGAAACUCAGGAGAGUUUUCUCCAAGCACGACAUCCCAGUGUACUUCAGACCCAGCAACACACUCAGACAUAAACUGGUUCACCCGAAAGACAAAACUCCAAAACACAGUCUGAACAACGUGGUGUAUGCUGUACAGUGCAGCGAGGAAUGCCCAGACCUCUACAUUGGAGAGACCAAACAGCCACUUCACAAGCGCAUGGCACAACAUAGAAGAGCCACCUCCACAGGACAAGACUCAGCAGUCCACCUGCAUCUUAAGGAUAAAGGUCACUCUUUCGAGGAUGCCAAUGUUCACAUAUUGGACAGAGAGGACAGAUGGUUUGAAAGAGGAGUGAAAGAGGCCAUCUAUGUCCACUGUGAGCGACCAUCUUUGAACAGAGGCGGUGGUUUACGACACCAACUGUCUGCCAUCUAUAAUCCAGUUUUGAGUUCCCUCCCCAGACGACUUAACGCCCAAUCACAUCCUGGGCCAUCUGACCUCAGGAAUUCACAUGACAAGGUGGGGCCAGGUUUCACAAUGAGCUCACCCGAAACCUUGGCUGAUUAG
ensembl:lncRNA